UGAAAUAAUAUCUCAUUUUAUAUAUAUUUAUUUUGUGGUAUAUUUUCACCGCUUAUUGAUCUAAAACGUCAUAUUCGUUCAAAAAAUAAACACAUUCAUUAUCCUUAAAUACAGGGUUUCGAUUACAAGAUUACCUUGUCACAAAGUUCCAUUGUUAUAAGGAGUCAUUAGAAGGUAAAAAUAAACUUUAAAUUAAACAAAAUUUGGAAAACGAAUUCCA